AAGAAUAGCCAGUGAGAAUUCUGAUUCUGUAGUAAAUAAAAAUGAAGGGCACUCGCCGCCAUCUUCUCCGUUGUCAGCUUCAAAUCAUAGCAGUUCUGAGAAUAACCGAAAUGGGUUUGCAAAAUUUUUUUCUAGAAGCAAGAAUGGAAUACAACUAGAAAUUUAGCAAGUAUCAGAUCAGGAAAGAAGAAAAACAGCUAUAUAUUGAUGAUUUCUUGAUU
rnacentral:misc_RNA from 1 species